rnacentral:rRNA from 1 species
UAACAGGAAAUUUAAGGGCGUACGGUGGAUGCCUAGACUUUAAGAAGCGAUGAAGGACGUGGCGUUGCUGCGAUAAGCUUCGGGGAGGUGCUUAGCAACCUUUGAUCCGGAGAUUUCCGAAUGGGGAAACCCUAUCAAGUAAACCUUGAUAAUUUUUAUCUUUAUGAUAAAAGAGCGCACCCUGGGAAGUGAAACAUCUCAGUACCAGGAGGAGUAGAAACAAAUAUGCAUUUCCUUAGUAGCGGCGAGCGAAAAGGAAGAAGUCCAAACCGUUCUCGCAAGAGGGCGGGGUUGUAAGAUGACAAUUUUUAUUUAAUUAAAGAGGAGUCAAAAAAUAAGUUAUUAGCUUAAGUUGCUGGAAAGCAACACCAUAGGAGGUGAUAGUCCCGUGAGCGAAAAUUUCUUAUCUCUUUUAUUGUUAUUCUUGAGUACCCCAGGACAUGAAUGGCCGGGGGGAAUCCAGCGGAACUAACCGCUAAGACUAAAUAUUCUUAAAGAUCGAUAGUGAACUAGUACCGUGAGGGAAAGGUGAAAAGCAGCCCGAUUAGGGCGGUGAAAUAGACCUGAAACCGUAUGUCUACAAGGAGUUGAAGCAGGUAUUUAUAUCUGCGACAGCGUGCCUAUUGAAGAAUGAGCCAACGAGUUUAUUCAUGCUGCUGGUGAAGUGGACUAAAACCACAGAACCAAAGGGAAACCGAGUGUUAAUAGCGCGAAAUAAUAGUAGCAUGCAUAAGACCCGAAGCCAGGUGAGCUUGCCAUGAGCAGGAUGAAGGAGGUCGAAAGAUCUCUGGAGGUCCGAACGGGUAGAUCGUACAACGUCUUCCGAUGACUUGUGGUAAGGAGUGAAAAGCUAAUCGAACCUGGUAAUAGCUGGUUCUCUCCGAAAUAGCUUUAGGGCUAGCGUCGUAUGUUUUUUCUGGGGGUAGAGCACUGGAAGGUUUCGACAGGGAGCAAUCUCGCGAAACCUAUCAAACUCCGAAUACCAGAGACCAUAGCGCGGCAGUUAGGCCAUGGGGGCGAAGCUCCAUUGGCCAAAAGGGAAACAGCCCGGAUCUCAAAAUAAGGUCCCUAAAUAUAUACUAAGUGUAAGACAAGAAGGUGAGAUUUCUUUAACAAUGAGGAGGUUGGCUUAGAAGCAGCCAUCCUUUAAAGAUAGCGUAACAGCUCACUCAUCUAGAGAUUUUGCGUCGAAAAUAAUUGGGGCUAAGUAUAUUACCGAAUUUGAGGAUUCGUAGACUUCAUACAGAUUUUUUGUACAUUGUUUUAGCGGGAGUAACGAAAAGCACUCAAACAGGAGUGCCAGGCGUUAAUAAUUUGGGGUUCAAUUCCCCCCUCCUGCGCCAAGUGUGUCGAGACGUAGCGCAGCCCGGUAGCGCAUCAGACAAGAGUAAAGUGUCUAGCUUAAUCAAAGGCACUGCACCUAUCUGAGGGUCGGAGGUUCAAAUCCUCCCGUCUCGACCAUCUUUCUCAAGUGAGAGAGUAUUUGUUUUUCCCAAGCGGGAUUUUAAGAUUUCGUUUGGGGUCUGUAUGAAGUCUACGAGUGGUAGGAGAGUGUUCCAAUCUGCUGUGAAGGAAGACCCGUGAGGGCUUCUGGAGCGUUUGGAAGUAAGAAUGUUGGCACAAGUAACCGCAAUGGCGCUGAGAACGCGCCACGUCGAAAGAUCAAGGUUUCCUUGGUAAUGUCAAUCAGCCAAGGGUUAGUCGGGCCUAAGGGAAUGGCGAAAGCCGUACUCGAUGGACAAUGGGUUAAUAUUCCCAUACUUCUGUAUUUAGUGACGGGAUGACGGAGUGUAGUAUGUAUCGCUCAUUAUUGGAUUUGAAGUUCGUGUCUUGAUUAUGCUCUAUAGGAAAAUCCGUAGAGUGCUUUAAAUGGCACAUGAAAGAGAAGCGAAAAGUUUUAUUCUUCGGGAUAAGAUAAUGAUACAAAGCACGCUUCCAAGAAAACUCUCUAAACUUAUAAGUAUAGAAUCCGUACCGCAAACCGACACAGGUGAUCAGGUCGAGUAGACCAAGACGAACGAGUGAGUGGUCCCCAAGGAACUCGGCAAAAAAGCAGCCGUAACUUCGGGAUAAGGCUUGCCCCGCCUCACAUUGCAUGUGAUGCGCAAGUUAUAAAGUAGAAAGUUAAAAGUUGUAAAGUUUAAUGCAUUUGUAUUUUACUUUAUGAACUUAAUAACUUUAUGAACUUUUUACUUGCAUCGCGCGCAGCGUGAUGCGGGGCCGCAGCGAAAGUAUUUCUGGCAACUGUUUACCAAAAACACAGCUCCCUGCGAACACGCAAGUGGAUGUAUAGGGGGUGACACCUGACCAAUGCCAGAAGGUCAAAUAUCGACGUUGUUAUGUAGCAAUAUGUGAUGGUGAUUGAUAUAAGCCCUGGUGAAUGUCGGCCGUAACUAUAACGGUCCUAAGGUUCUGCACACAAUGCAAAUUGCGUGCGGAAUGACUGGGACCGUCAUAGAAAAAGGUAAAUAAUUAAAUUAAAAAAUUGUUAGACUAUUCGAAUGCUACCUGCUUCACAGUAAUGUGAAGACAGUCAAAACUUGGCUAACGAGAGACCAGCGUCAAGCAUCCCAACUCUUCGGAGUGGAUGAAGAUAGAGUCCUUCUUAGGUAUAGAAGAGCGAAAUACCUUGUCGGGUAAGUUCCGACGCGCACGAAUGGUGUAAUGACUGGAAAACUGUCUCGGGGACCAGCUCGGUGAAAAUACAAUACCGGUGAAGAUGCCGGUUAAGUGCAGUUAGACGAAAAGACCCUAGAAGCUUUACUAUAACUUUAUAUUGAGCAUGUUUUUUGUCUGCGUAGCAUAGAUGGGAGAG